rnacentral:lncRNA from 1 species
GUUUUGACUAAUAGGAAUGGCGAUACUCGAACUCCUGGGGUAUUCAAUGGAAGCUUCAAAAAGAUAUUACCUCAUUUGAUCUUUGUAUACACCUCAUUAGAUACUGACAGCUAUUCAACAAAUAAAGAAAAAGAGGCAUAGAAAAUUUGGAUAACUUACUAAAGUCAUUGAGACAACAGACAGCCAAGGCAUUGGCACAGUCUUUGGACAUGAAAAUCAUGGAGAAGGAAGAGGCUGAUUGUUAUCCAUGAUUAGGCAGUGCAGAUAUAGCUCAAUAUUCCAAAUGGGAUGUUUUGGCCUUGGAGUUAAGUUCCAAGAGCAUUAUAAAAUAAUCACCUGUAUAGGAAGUCCUGACUUAACUCUAUUAACAACUUCGAAAGUCACAUACCUGAAGAUGAUCCUGCAUGUCCAUAGAGCCUAGGUCCCUCAAAAGAUGGUGUUGCAAUGACAGAAAUUGAGACAUCAAGAGAACGUUUAGCAGAAUAAGUUAGUUAAGAUGUAGGUGUGUCGAAAGUUUCAGGUGUCAGUAAACAUCAAAAGAAAAUGUAGCAGUAGCUAGAAAUUUCCAGGCUGAAGAUGAAGGUUAAAGCUAAAGAUAGACUAUUUUUGUCAUCUACAUGGAAGAUGAUGGCUAAAGCUAUAAGAGUGAAUGACAUCAGCAAGGAAGAAAAUACAGGAAUAAGGAAGAAGAGAUGGUGAAAUGGCUACUCGUAAGGAGUGGGAGAAAGAAUAAAUGAGAAGAAAAUGAAGAAUGUGUGGCCAAGAACAUAGGAGAAAAGCCAGGAAGAUCAAUGUCUUAUCAACAGACAGAUUUGAGCAGCAGGUACUCAACAGAGCUUAAGAAAAACAAAUAUUGAGAACAGAGUAAGGACUAUUUCAUUUGGUGAACAGGAGAUUUCUAUUGAACUAGAAUAGCUAGGUAACUACAUUUUCAUGGGUUAAGAAGAGAAGAGGAGAAAGAACAGUGAGGAAGAGAACCCAUUGUAUUAUUGAGGAAUUUUGAAGUCAAAUAAAAAAGAGAUGUGAGUGGAAUGACAUAAUUCUAGAGAUAAGUGAAGCUGGAGAAUGUUACAUGCUUGGAAGGAAGGAGUGAGUCUUAGAAAUUAA